rnacentral:rRNA from 1 species
UGGGGAAUAUUGCGCAAUGGGGGCAACCCUGACGCAGCCAUGCCGCGUGAGUGAAGAAGGCCUUAGGGUUGUAAAACUCUUUCACCGGUGAAGAUAAUGACGGUAGCCGGAGAAGAAGCCCCGGCCAACUCCGUGCCAGCAGCCGCGGUAAGACGGAGGGGGCAAGCGUUGUCCGGACUCACUGGGCGUAAAGGGCGCGCAGGCGGGACGGCGCGUCGGCGCUGAAAGCGCCCGGCUUAACCGGGCGCGGCGCGGCGAUACGACCGACCUGGAGGCAGGCAGAGGGUGGCGGAAUUCCGGGUGUAGUGGUGAAAUGCGUAGAGAUCCGGAGGAACGCCUGUGGCGCAAGCGGCCGCCUGGGCCUGACCUGACGCUGAGGCGCGAAAGCGUGGGGAGCGAACCGGAUUAGAUACCCGCGUAGUCC